UACGUAGGGGGCAAGCGUUGUCCGGAUUUAUUGGGCGUAAAGCGCACGCAGGCGGUACGGUAAGUUUUGAGUGACAGGUGGUGGCUUAACCACCGCAGGCCUUGAAAAACUGCCGCACUUGAGGGCUUGAGAGGGACGCGGAAUUCCAGGUGGAGCGGUGAAAUGCGUAGAGAUCUGGAAGAACACCAAAGGCGAAGGCAGCGUCCUGGCAAGUUACUGACGCUCAGGUGCGAAAGCUAGGGGAGCGAACGGG
rnacentral:rRNA from 1 species